rnacentral:rRNA from 1 species
UGGGGAAUUUUGGACAAUGGGCGAAAGCCUGAUCCAGCAAUGCCGCGUGUGUGAAGAAGGCCUUCGGGUUGUAAAGCACUUUUGUCCGGAAAGAAAUCCUUGGCUCUAAUACAGUCGGGGGAUGACGGUACCGGAAGAAUAAGCACCGGCUAACUACGUGCCAGCAGCCGCGGUAAUACGUAGGGUGCAAGCGUUAAUCGGAAUUACUGGGCGUAAAGCGUGCGCAGGCGGUUUGCUAAGACCGAUGUGAAAUCCCCGGGCUCAACCUGGGAACUGCAUUGGUGACUGGCAGGCUAGAGUAUGGCAGAGGGGGGUAGAAUUCCACGUGUAGCAGUGAAAUGCGUAGAGAUGUGGAGGAAUACCGAUGGCGAAGGCAGCCCCCUGGGCCAAAUACUGACGCUCAUGCACGAAAGCGUGGGGAGCAAACAGGAUUAGAUACCCUGGUAGUCCACGCCCUAAACGAUGUCAACUAGUUGUUGGGGACUUCAUUUCCUUAGUAACGUAGCUAACGCGUGAAGUUGGCCGCCUGGGGAGUACGGUCGCAAGAUUAAAAAUCUCAAAUGAAUUGACGGGGUCAUAGCUG